UGCCACACAGGAUAGGAGCUCAAUAAGGAGUCACAAAAAUUUGUUUUUUGAUAACUUGGAAAACAAAUGGAUUUAUUUACAUAAACACUACAAGUACUUGCAUCACUUAUAAUACAAAAAGAAAACUUCCCUCCUUUUGCCAUACUCUCCCUAGUGUAAACAUACUUAAUCAAAAAGAACACACUUUUGCCAAAGAAUAUUACUUAAUAUAUAUAUAUAUACGUAUAUAGACACUCGUUUCGUGCAUAAGGGUCUCAAUUUUGAGGAUGAAAUAAGUUUGAUCCCGCGAUAUGUGGAGUCUUCAAGCCUGAGCUAAGGGGAUCAUUGGUCGUGCAGUUUCGGAGAUGGUCUUCUUUUUGAGUUGGUUAGGUAAGGGAAGCUGUGUAGGCCUAGAUGGACCUGCACCAGUAGCUUCAGUAGAAGUUGUUCCUUGUGAUUCUUGUACUGCCUGUGUCAGUAUCUCAACCACUUCGCUCAUUUUUGGUCGCUCUUUGGCGUUCUUGUUUAAGCAGCUAUCAGCCAGUUUAGCAAUUCUCUUAGCAGCAAUAAUUGAGAAGUCGUUUCGAAGCCUCGAGUCAAUUAUCAUGCUAAAUCUUCUACUAUCAGCAGGAAAUUGUUUUACCCAAUCAAGAAGUUUCUGCUCGUUCACAGGACGGCUCCUUUCCAAAGUUCGCCUGCCUGAGAGGAUCUCAUAGAGGACAACUCCAAAGCUCCAUACAUCACUCUUAACUGAUAGAUGUCCAGUUUCCACAUAUUCAGGGGCAGCAUAUCCUAAAGUCCCCACCGGCUAAGAACAAAGAGUUACGUAUUAACAAUCAGGCCAUGAGAAUUGAAGUCUAAAGCAUGCCUAACCUGCGCAAUUCAGGGCCUAAAAAUGACUGUAAAGAUAAACUAGCUAGUAAAGUAAUAAAGCACGUGGUUAACAUAAAUAGCUAGAGAACAAUGAAAACAAACAGCAUGGUAACUUGAGACUGGAAAGAGGUAUAUGAUGGCUCAUCUAAGCGAGAAGCUAAUUUGUUCAGACUCGUUUGUGGAUUCGAUAAGGGUGUGGAUCCAGGAAUCGGAUCCUUCAUGAUAUAAAUCUUAAGAUUUAUGGGUGUGGAUCCAAGUUUAGAUACAGGGGUGGGAAUGAGGCUAAAAAUUAGAGUUAUAUGUCUAAAUUGUGAGAUAUUGUGUGGAAAACUUACAAGGUGUCCGAAGAAAAAAUAUUGAUUAAGACUAGAAUCCCCAAAGGUGAUACAAGCAAAAGGACUGACAUAGAAAUUUCUCUAUACAAGGUACUCCAUUUUCUUCAAUUUCGUCUUAGUUUUGUCUUGAUUACAGAAAUCAUUGUAUCUAUCCACAAAUUUCUCUGUUGAUUUUAGUAAAAGUACCCAUAGUAGAUUGACCAAAUCAGGUACAGAUCCCACACCUACGUCG
rnacentral:misc_RNA from 1 species